CGGCGGACGGGUGAGUAACGCGUGGGUAACCUGCCUCAUACAGGGGGAGUAACAGUUGGAAACGGCUGCUAAUACCGCCAUAAGCGCACAGUACCGCAUGGUACCGUGUGAAAAACUCCGGUGGUAUGAGAUGGACCCGCCGUCUGAUUAGGUAGUUGGUGGGGUAACGGCCCACCAAGCCGACGAUCAGUAGCCGACCUGAGAGGGUGACCGGCCACAUUGGGACUGAGACACGGCCCAAACUCCUACGGGAGGCAGCAUG
rnacentral:rRNA from 1 species